GGAGAGGUACCCGAAGCGGCCCAACGGGGUCCGGGUGCUUUGCACUUGGCCGGGUCUUCAUGGCCCUCGCAGGUUCGAAUCCUGCCCUCUCCG
rnacentral:tRNA from 1 species